UACGUAGGGUGCAAGCGUUAAUCGGAAUUACUGGGCGUAAAGCGUGCGCAGGCGGCUUUGCAAGACAGAUGUGAAAUCCCCGGGCUUAACCUGGGAACUGCAUUUGUGACUGCAUGGCUGGAGUGCGGCAGAGGGGGAUGGAAUUCCGCGUGUAGCAGUGAAAUGCGUAGAUAUCGGAGGGAACACCAGUGGCGAAGGCGGUUCGCUGGGCCGGAACUGACGCUGAAGAACGAAAGCGUGGGUAGCAAACAGG
rnacentral:rRNA from 1 species